AGUACCUUCGUUUCCUCGGCGGGUUCGCCCGCCGAUUGGACAAUUUAAACCAUUUGCAGUUGCAAUCAGCGUCUGAAAAAACAUAAUAGUUACAACUUUCAACAACGGAUCUCUUGGUUCUGGCAUCGAUGAAGAACGCAGCGAAAUGCGAUAAGUAGUGUGAAUUGCAGAAUUCAGUGAAUCAUCGAAUCUUUGAACGCACAUUGCGCCCCUUGGUAUUCCAUGGGGCAUGCCUGUUCGAGCGUCAUUUGUACCUUCAAGCUCUGCUUGGUGUUGGGUGUUUGUCUCGCCUCUGCGCGUAGACUCGCCUCAAAACAAUUGGCAGCCGGCGUAUUGAUUUCGGAGCGCAGUACAUCUCGCGCUUUGCAUUCAGAACGACGACGUCCAAAAGUACAUUUUUACACUCUU
rnacentral:rRNA from 1 species